rnacentral:rRNA from 1 species
AUUCCAGCUCCAAUAGCGUAUAUUAAAGUUGUUGCAGUUAAGAAGCUCGUAGUUGGAUUUCUGGUGGGGACGUUUGGCCGGCCGUAACGGUUUGCGCUGAAAUGUUCUUCGCCAUCCUUGACGAAUACUGGUUCGCCAUUAAGUUGUGUGGGCUUGGAGUCGUCAUCGUUUACUGUGAAAAAAUUAGAGUGUUCAAAGCAGGCUUAUGCCGUUGAAUACAUUAGCAUGGAAUAAUAAGAUAGGACCCUGGUACUAUUUUGUUGGUUUGCGUACCUAGGUAAUGAUUAAUAGGGACAGUUGGGGGUAUUUGUAUUCCGUUGUCAGAGGUGAAAUUCUUGGAUUUACGGAAGACAAACUACUGCGAAAGCAUUUACCAAGGAUGUCUUCAUCA